GACGAACGCUGGCGGCGUGCCUAAUACAUGCAAGUAGAACGCACAGUUUAUACCGUAGCUUGCUACACCAUAGACUGUGAGUUGCGAACGGGUGAGUAACGCGUAGGUAACCUGCCUGGUAGCGGGGGAUAACUAUUGGAAACGAUAGCUAAUACCGCAUAAUAUUAAUUAUUGCAUGAUAAUUAAUUGAAAGGUGCAAUUGCACCACUACCAGAUGGACCUGCGUUGUAUUAGCUAGUAGGUGAGGUAACGGCUCACCUAGGCGACGAUACAUAGCCGACCUGAGAGGGUGAUCGGCCACACUGGGACUGAGACACGGCCCAGACUCCUACGGGAGGCAGCAGUAGGGAAUCUUCGGCAAGGGACGAAAGUCUGACCGAGCAACGCCGCGUGAGUGAAGAAGGGUUUCGGAUCGUAAAGCUCUGUUGUAAGAGAAGAACGGGUGUGAGAGUGGAAAGUUCACACUGUGACGGUAUCUUACCAGAAAGGGACGGCUAACUACGUG
rnacentral:rRNA from 1 species